rnacentral:rRNA from 1 species
AUGAACGCUAGCUACAGGCUUAACACAUGCAAGUCGAGGGGCAGCAUGGUCUUAGCUUGCUAAGGCCGAUGGCGACCGGCGCACGGGUGAGUAACACGUAUCCAACCUGCCGUCUACUCUUGGACAGCCUUCUGAAAGGAAGAUUAAUACAAGAUGGCAUCAUGAGUCCGCAUGUUCACAUGAUUAAAGGUAUUCCGGUAGACGAUGGGGAUGCGUUCCAUUAGAUAGUAGGCGGGGUAACGGCCCACCUAGUCUUCGAUGGAUAGGGGUUCUGAGAGGAAGGUCCCCCACAUUGGAACUGAGACACGGUCCAAACUCCUACGGGAGGCAGCAGUGAGGAAUAUUGGUCAAUGGGCGAGAGCCUGAACCAGCCAAGUAGCGUGAAGGAUGACUGCCCUAUGGGUUGUAAACUUCUUUUAUAAAGGAAUAAAGUCGGGUAUGGAUACCCGUUUGCAUGUACUUUAUGAAUAAGGAUCGGCUAACUCCGUGCCAGCAGCCGCGGUAAUACGGAGGAUCCGAGCGUUAUCCGGAUUUAUUGGGUUUAAAGGGAGCGUAGAUGGAUGUUUAAGUCAGUUGUGAAAGUUUGCGGCUCAACCGUAAAAUUGCAGUUGAUACUGGAUAUCUUGAGUGCAGUUGAGGCAGGCGGAAUUCGUGGUGUAGCGGUGAAAUGCUUAGAUAUCACGAGGAACUCCGAUUGCGAAGGCAGCCUGCUAAGCUGCAACUGACAUUGAGGCUCGAAAGUGUGGGUAUCAAACAGGAUUAGAUACCCUGGUAGUCCACACGGUAAACGAUGAAUACUCGCUGUUUGCGAUAUACAGCAAGCGGCCAAGCGAAAGCGUUAAGUAUUCCACCUGGGGAGUACGCCGGCAACGGUGAAACUCAAAGGAAUUGACGGGGGCCCGCACAAGCGGAGGAACAUGUGGUUUAAUUCGAUGAUACGCGAGGAACCUUACCCGGGCUUAAAUUGCAGAUGAAUUACGGUGAAAGCCGUAAGCCGCAAGGCAUCUGUGAAGGUGCUGCAUGGUUGUCGUCAGCUCGUGCCGUGAGGUGUCGGCUUAAGUGCCAUAACGAGCGCAACCCUUGUUGUCAGUUACUAGCAGGUUCCGCUGAGGACUCUGACAAGACUGCCAUCGUAAGAUGUGAGGAAGGUGGGGAUGACGUCAAAUCAGCACGGCCCUUACGUCCGGGGCUACACACGUGUUACAAUGGGGGGUACAGAGGGCCGCUACCACGCGAGUGGAUGCCAAUCCCCAAAACCUCUCUCAGUUCGGACUGGAGUCUGCAACCCGACUCCACGAAGCUGGAUUCGCUAGUAAUCGCGCAUCAGCCACGGCGCGGUGAAUACGUUCCCGGGCCUUGUACACACCGCCCGUCAAGCCAUGGGAGCCGGGGGUACCUGAAGUGCGUAACCGCGAGGAGCGCCCUAGGGUAAAACUGGUGACUGGGGCU